AUUAUCUUGGCAGACUAGUGCGUUAAAUUUAGAAUUUAAAUAUGAAAAUGAAAAAUUUUUAGAUAAUA